GGCCCACGUUUCUAAGUGGCCUUUGAGUGGAAAGUUAAAGGGCGGCAUAAUCAAAUUCUUGGAUAAGAGUAUGAUGAAUUAUGAAAGUUUUACAUGCAAAAUUGUGCAACAUUAAAAAAAAACUAAAAAAAAUAUUAUUAAAAUACAAAAAAUGUUUUCAAAUACAUUCCUAUAUAUGUACCAUUCAGACAGUUAUGUCUUUCCUAGCUCAAAAAACAGAAUGUAAUAAUUACAUUUUGAUACCUUAUUUUUGUUUGUUUCUUUCCAUCUGCCACCAAAUUUGUAAAUUUUUGGAAACUAUAGUUAAAAUGUGUACAUAAUUACUGUGAUAAUAAAAGUAUAGUAAUUUGGGUCAAUACCUAUAUAUUCAUAACAAACAUCGUCAUGGACUGCAACCCUUAGAGGGAAAGCAGUCCAUAGCAACAGUUAAAAAAACAAAACGUCAAAAAAUCAUGAAAUGCAGAAUGCAAACAACUGCAGUAUAUUAUACAUGUAGCUUAUUUAACACUCAAUUUAUGUUCUCAGAUUAAAUUUUACGGACAGACGAGCUUUCGUUUCAUCUCUUUAGUUGUACUUAGAGGUAUAUACUAGUAUAUAGGAUCCACAUAUAUCACCGGUAUAGCCACGACCAUUGAGACAUGAGGAGGAAGUCGCAAUUGAUGCAAAAUCGUCAAAAUUCCAAAAGUCUGCAGAUCAUCCACCCAGACAAUACUGACCAUGCAAGAUCUCUAAGAACAAUUUUCUUUAGGAAGUUAUUGGUCAAAACACAUCUAAGUUUGACUUUCAACAUAUCACCGACAGCUCCAAAAUCUGAGGCUAUAACAUAAUAAAAACCAUUCAUAGCAGCGUAAAGUCGUGCAUUCCAUUACUUGUUUAAUUAUGGAUUGUUUUUUACUUUUCAUUCAUUACCGAUUCUGAAGAUUGGGAUAUUCUUUCUCGGCCAAAACCAAUAUACUACAGGACUACAGGUUUAUAAAUGAAAGAAAAAAAGAAACAUUUCCUCAAACAAUUUAUUGGUGUAUAAAAAUUAAGUAGAACAAUAACAACAGUCUCUGUACUUGAUAUACCUACUAUAACUAUAAAACUGUACUUAUUAUAUAUAUGUAUGUACUUCCACCACUUACAGAUAAUAUAUUUGACAUUUAUUACUUC